UGGUGACACACAACUGCAUGGACGUUC
rnacentral:piRNA from 1 species